UCAGCUCUGUGCAACCUCUGCCUCCAGGGUUCAAACGAUUCUUCUGUCUAGCCUCCUGAGUAGUUGAGAUUACAGGUACCUGCCACCACACCUGGCUAAUUUUUAAAUUUUUAAUUUAUUUUUCAUUUUUAGUAGAGACUGAUUUUUGCCAUGUUGGCCAGGCUGGUCUUGAACUCCUGACCUCAAGUGAUCUUCCCGCCUCAGCCUCCCAAAGUGCUGGGAUUACAGGGGUGAGCCAACGUGCAUGGCCUCAGAAAUGGGAUUUCUUGAGCACAGAGGAAAGACCACGUGAGGACAUUGCCAAAGGGCAGCCAUCUGCAAGCCAAAGAGAGUGGCCUCAGAAGAAACCAGGCCUGCCAAAACCUUGACCUUGGCCCUCAGCCUCCAGAACUGUGAGAAAACACAUUUCUGCUUAAGCCACCCAGUCUAUGCUUGUUAUGGCAGCCCUAGCACAUGAAUACCCCUUCCAUCCAAGUGCCUCUGAGGUCAGAGAACUGUUCAAAGUGCCUGAGAGCCAGAGCCCCUGGAAGCAGCCCUUGGCCAAUGGCAAGCAGGAGGACGGGGUGACAGCGUGGGGCUGGAGUAACUCAGAGGCGUGUUCUCCGCUGUCCCUGAGUUCCCCAGCUAGACAGAGCUUCACUUGCCCACCAGGCUGACUUCCUUCCCUUCCCUUCCCUUCCUCACUUCCCCACUCCCCUGUGGGUUUCCUCAGAUCGCUUCCAAGAUAAAGUAUUGCACUGGAAUUCUUGCCCUAAAGUCUGCUUCUGUGGGAAGCAAACCAAGGAGACAUGAUAUUACCGCACUUAGCCCUCCCAUGACUCCAUCAAGGAAGCAGGCCCGUCCCCUUUGGGAGAUGAGGAAGUAGAGACUCAGAGACAGAAAGACACUCAUCCAAGAGCCAGGACUCAAUCCCCAGGCCACCUCCGGGCUUGGACUCCAUCUGUCCAUCACGUGGCCUUUCUGAUAAGCUAGGAACACCUUGGACCUAAGAAGGAUGGGGCGAAGGCCAAGGCCAAGAGCUCCAGGGCCUGGGAGCAGAGCCAACUUACAAGAAUGACUUGCGCACCUUCCACCUGCCCUGGACCCGGAUGGAGGAGUCGGAGAUGCUGAGACUCAGGCCCUGGCCAGGGACAGGCCUCAGCGCAGAGUGAAGCAGCUCACAGCUGUGGAUGUUCAGGCUGAAGGGAGAGACAUGGAAGGAGGUGUCAGCCCUGGGCCUGGACCCAGCCUCACCAGGGACCUUGCGCCUCCCCUCUCCACAGUGGGGACUAGACCAGCAGGAUCUGCUCCAGGAGAGGGCCCCCAGAAAUGGCAGUGCAUCAAAUGAUGGACAGGCGAUCAUAAAACUGUCCCUCUGACAUGAUAAGUGGCCACGAAUGGCGCCAAGAGGGAGAGGAGUUCCCUAACAGAUAGUUGACAUCAUCUGGAGCCAGCAAACCACAAUUCCCUGGUAAGGUCGAGCAGAAGGGCAAAUGUUGGAGUCUGACUUGUAUAUGACCUUUUUCUUGCGGCGACGGACCAGUAAGGGAAAAUCACCCCAAGUGAGCAUGCGCACAACCUUAGUAAACACACUGCGCAUGCGGCCCCUCCCAAGUGCUGGCAGGCCAUUGCGCAUGCAGGGAGGGCGCAGCAGCCCACCGAAGGGAGGAAUCAAGGAGGAGAAGAAACCCCAGAACCAAGCCAGUGUAUAAAAGCCCCGAGCCAAAGGUUGAGCGGGGCACUUGAUCUCUCAGUUGUACUUUGCUUCUUUCAAUAAACCUUUGCCUCUGCUUUAAAACUUGCCUGCGUCUCUCAAUUGAAUUCUUUCCUCUGAGAAGACAAGGGCUGGGAGUGUUGCGGACUCGCCACCGAUAAUAUUCUCACUACAAAAGUGUUACUGAAAAGAUUUUGAAAAACCCAGAAUUUGGAAUCCA
rnacentral:lncRNA from 1 species